GUCGCCGAUGCCAGGCAUCUCACAGUGCGGCUCUUGAACCUGGAAAACGAAAGCGAAAGGAAAAGGAUAAGGAUAAGGAUGAAAAGCGAAGCAGCUUGCAGGGGAGCCUAGAUGAUUAGCAGACUCCGCUGUGAUGUGGCUAUUGUGGAGCGUUUGUUGGUCGCCACCUAAUUGUUGGUAUUAUUACCAUCGAUUAGUUGGCUGUGCAUUGAAUAUGGUUUAUGGCGAGUAUUUGCGGAGUACACUGUGUCUACUAGAAGUGGGCAAAUAUUGAUCACUCUGCUCGCCUUGGGCGCAGAUGUAGCAAAAAGCACAGCUCUUUUGUAGUUCAUUUGACUGCACAUUUUGAUUGCUUUCUGUGUCUAGUGGAUCUAAAUUGGAUUUCGGAUUUUGAAUUAAACAACGCCGCUGGCCGCAUUAAAAGCAAAUUUUGCCUGGACACUUCAUCAUCAUCGGCAUCACACUGCGCAUCAUCGUUUCAAUUAGUCGAAACAAAUAACUCGAAACACAAAAAUGGGCUAGCAGAAAAUAAUGGAGUUAGUCACCAGACUCCCGGGUCCCGGGAGCGAUAACAAUAAGCAAUCAACUGGGAGCCCUGAGUGGUGCUAUCUCAGCGAACCAUCACAUAUCAGCCAGCCAUCGGCAUUCAUUUGCGUGUUUUGGCGUGUAAAGUGCCACACAUGGACUAUUGCGAAUAUUCCGCGUGCCGAAACUAAUUGAUAAUACAAAACCCCAACCCCAAAACAAUACCGAAAAUUGGUUCUACCGUCGGAACUUCUGUACCUAAUGGAAACAAUAUGGCGGUUGAUAAAAA